rnacentral:tRNA from 16 species
ACCUGUGGUGGUUAGUACUCCACGUUGUGGCCGUGGCGACGCUGGUUCGAUUCCAGCAGCAGGCA